CUCGGCCUCCCAAAGUGCUGGGAUUACAGGCGUGAGCCACCACGCCCGGCCAAUAAUAUGGACUCUCAUAUCCAGGAUAACUCCCUUGUGUCUUUCUUGAAGCCCAUGGGAAUGAAUGCAAUGGCCCAACCAAGAGAAGAAGAAGAAAGAAGAUGAAAGAAGAUGAAAGAAGAAGAAGAAGAAUAGGAAGAAGAGGAAGAGGAAGAGGAGGAAGAAGGGUGAGGAGGAGGAGAAAAGAAAGAAGAGGAAGAAAGCUAAGGAUAGAAUCUUAGAAACCUUCACUGUUCAGGGCUGGCUGGGGAAGAGGAAUCAGCAGAGGAGCUUGUGUUGGAUCAUCCAGAGAGGCAGGAGGGAAGCCAGGGGAGCGGUGGCAUCCUGGAAGCUGAUGGAAAACAUGGUUUCCACGAGCAAGUGACCCAGCGGGUCAAAUGCUGCAAAAAGACAUGGCCUUAUUAUGUUGCUCAGGCUGGUCUUGAACUCCUGGCCUCAAGCGAUCCUCCCACCUCUGCCUCUUGAAAUUCUGGAAUGACAGGCAUGAGCCACCGCACCUGGCCAGAACUUUGGCAUUCUUAAACAAAAAUCUAGAAAAGCUUUUCUUGUAAAGGAAACAGAGCAGUCUCCAUGGGGGCUUAGCCUGCCCGGCACCUCUGGGGAGUAUCAGAAAAGGCAGCCCAAGUUGGUAUGGCCCAUGACAUCAGUGUUAUAGUCCAGACACUGGGUGCAUUCUGUCCACCCACCACGGGACAGGGCUCGGCCAGGUCCGCACCUGUCGGGGGUACGUGCUCUCUCAGUGAUGGCUGGCCACUGACAGAAACAGUGCACUGACCUCAGUAAAAGAAUGCCAAAGUCUGUCUUUCUUUCUCAAGUAAUGUGGAGGAAAAGGAGCUCCUGCCAGGUGCAGAAGAAAGAAGAAAACCCGUUCUUGGCAGCAGGGGGAUCAGGUUGCCACAGCAACGAGCUUCUUCCAAGUCCACUCAUUAUGUGGCUUUUGAAUUAGACUUCCUUCUGUACAUCUCACUGCACUGAUUCCCUCGUCUUCGGCCGGCUCAUUUCCCGAGCUUCUCCUGGGGAAAUCAACACAGAGGGGAGUCUGACCUCUCCUUUCAAGGCUUGGUCCUGCUUGUCCCUGGGAUGACACAAUAUUUACUUGUUGGUUUACACUUGGAAGAACCUGAUCGCCGUGCAGAAUGAAGAGCCCCUCCUCCUCUGUGGGUGGGAGCGUUGACUGGUACAACUUCUUUGAGCAGCAAUUUGGCCCAAUACAAGUGCAUACCCUUUGAUCUCACGGUUCUGGGGCUUAACCCCGGCAUGACAGCAUUUUUGUAUAAUAACAGCAAAAAGCUGGAAACGACCUUCACAUCACUGAUGGGAGAUGGGUUAAAUAUCAGCUAAGCCACCAGACAGCUGAAGGAAUAAUGAGCUAGAGCUUAUGUACCCAUAUGGAAAGAUGUACUGUUAAGUUAAAAAAAGCAAGUUGUUCAAACUCAUAGAAACAGAAAGGGGAAGGGUGGUUGCCAGGGGCUCGGGGCAGGGAGGAAUGGGGUUGUUUAAUGGGUAUAGAGUUUCAGCUUUGCAAGAUGAAAAAAUUCUGGAAAUUGGUUGUACAACAAUGUGACUAUAACUACUGAAUUCUAAACUUAAAAAUGAUUAAGGCCAGAUGCAGUGGCUCACGCCUGUAAUCCCAGCACUUUGGGAGGCUG
rnacentral:lncRNA from 10 species